AUAAUUUUGUGGCUUUGUUAUUGUAUUCAUGUUGUUGUAGCUGCAAGGUAGCAUGUGCUUACUAGGUUUAUCCCCCCUGGAAAUACCCCCUAUGGAGACAUGCCUCUUUGUGGUGGUAUCUCCCUGGGAGAGUACCUAGUGAAAAUACCCCCUCUUGAAAUACCCCCUACCGAGACAUAUAUGGGUGGGGUGUUUCCCAGGGAGACUACCUUGUCCUGGAAAUACCCAACAGUGAUAAGGGGUGUUUCCCAGGGAGAAUACCACGUAACCUACUGUACAUACGUUAUCUGAUGCGUGUACAUGUUGUGUGGCUUCACCCUUUGUCGACAUGCACGCACACAGGCUGUGAAAAGGAAACUAGACGACAUUUCAAAGAAGCUAGCCAUUCUCUGUGACCUGCUAAGAGCUUCUCAGCUGUCACCCAAUGUACUGCAAGGCCUUCAUGGAAUGAUGUCCAGAGCCUCAACUACCCCUCAGGGCUGGCUAGAUACACAUAGAUGGUGUCUGCGGGAAAUUUCUCCGAGAUCAGCAGCUUCAUACCGGGUCUCAAGGCUCUCCUCCAGCUGGGCUCCCAGCUCAGGGUCUAGCCACCUGUAUAGAGGGACAGUGGAACUGUAAUAGUGCUGUGUUAUAUGAAUCAAUGAACUGAACAAUAAUUUAAUGUAUUGUGCAUUCUACUUUCUAUCUCAGAAAUAGUUUUGAGAUUAUUAUUUUACAAUUAAUGAAGAUAUUAUUAUCA